GAUGAACGCUGGCGGCGUGCCUAAUACAUGCGAGUCGAACGCACAGCGAAAGGUGCUUGCACCUUUCAAGUGAGUGGCGAACGGGUGAGUAACACGUGGACAACCUGCCUCAAGGCUGGGGAUAACAUUUGGAAACAGAUGCUAAUACCGAAUAAAACUUAGUGUCGCAUGACACAAAGUUAAAAGGCGCUUCGGCGUCACCUAGAGAUGGAUCCGCGGUGCAUUAGUUAGUUGGUGGGGUAAAGGCCUACCAAGACAAUGAUGCAUAGCCGAGUUGAGAGCCUGAUCGGCCACAUUGGGACUGAGACACGGCCCAAACUCCUACGGGAGGCUGCAGUAGGGAAUCUUCCACAAUGGGCGAAAGCCUGAUGGAGCAACGCCGCGUGUGUGAUGAAGGCUUUCGGGUCGUAAAGCACUGUUGUAUGGGAAGAACAGCUAGAAUAGGAAAUGAUUUUAGUUUGACGGUACCAUACCAGAAAGGGACGGCUAAAUACGUG
rnacentral:rRNA from 1 species